GACGAACGCUGGCGGCGUGCUUAACACAUGCAAGUCGAACGGAAAGGCCCUGUUUCUGUGGGGUGCUCGAGUGGCGAACGGGUGAGUAACACGUGAGUAACCUGCCCUCGACUUUGGGAUAACUUCUGGAAACUGGGGUUAAUACCGGAUCGUAGCUCCUGCUGCAUGGUGGGGGUUGGUAAGUUUCGGCGGGUGGGGAUGGACGCGCGGGGGAUCAGCUUGUUGGGGAGGUAAUGGCUGUCCACGGCGAUGAUGGGUAGCCGUGCUGAGAGGGUGACCAGCGACACUGGAACUGAGACACGGUACAGAGUCCUACGGGAGGCAGCAGUGGGGAAUAUUGCACAAUGGGGGGAACGCUGAUGCAGCCAUGCCGCGUGAAUGAAGAAGGCCUUCGGGGUGUAAAGUUCUUUCGGUGACGAGGAAGGUGGAUAGGUUAAUAGCCUAUCAAAUGGACGUGAAUAACAGAAGAAGCACCGGCUAACUCCGUG
rnacentral:rRNA from 1 species